UAACACCGCUACCACCCGCAGAC
rnacentral:siRNA from 1 species